CUUUUAAAACCAUACGAAGUUCAGAGAAUCAUGUCAAAAAGACAAAAACUCUUCAACUUACAACAAAAGAGACCCCAUCUUUUCUUUGGUUUACCAUUACUGCUUCUAGCUUUCCCACGGCAAACGCUUUUGCUCACAGAAACUUACGAAAAUGACGUCCAACAACAAGGUUUCCAACUUCUUCAAACAAUAUCUUCCAAAACAUGGCAAGGAUGGACUGGGAAUCCCGGAUGCAUUUGUGGAACAUUUGAAUGGAUCUCCUAAAAAGGCCGUGCUUCGGAAUUGGAUGGGAGAAAUUUGGUAUGUGGAGAUAGGUUAUACUGAUGCUGAGAAAUCCCAGAUGCAUUCGUGGAAUGCUUGAAUGGAUUUCUGAAGAAGGCUCUGCUUCGAAAUUGAAUGGGAAAGCUGUGGCAUGUGGAGAUAGAUUAUACUGAUAAUGGGGUGUGUUUUCUAAAUGGGUGGCAGAAGUUUGUUGAAGAUACGGUAGUGAUCAAAGUUUUGAUGUUGAAGAUCUUUGGGAAAUCGGCAUGUGAGAAGAGAGAAAUAAAUAGCAAUGCUGGCAUUGAUGUAGAGGUUAAGAGGAAGGAGGAUGAUGUUAUUGAUGUUGAUGAUGAUAAAAGUGAUGAUUUUAUUGCAAAUGAGGAGGAGAAUAUAGAAGAAGGAGAAGAAGCAAGUAUGAAUCACCGAGCAAAACGAUCAGCAGAAAUAAAGGAGGAAUAUCCACAAAAAGGGCUGUUGUUGAACCUGGAGCAAAUGUGACAUCAGAAAUCACUUUCAGAUGCAAAAUCCUUUCUUCGUGUCAAAAUUAAGAAAGGGCCACAGGAACAAAUUUGUAAUGAUCUCAAUUCAUCUGUAACCAAUGCUAUGGUUAUAAUUACUUGUGAUUUUACGUGCCAUCCUUCUUUUUUCGUGGGCUUCUUUCAACUGGAACAUGUCAUGUUCUGCUUGAAACUCAAAACAAUUGGUCUGAAAUGAAUUGAAAUUUAUUGGGGUCACACCAUGAAUGCUAUCUUCCUUAUUAUACAGUAUGUUUGCUUAUGGUAGAAGUCUCUCUCAUGCAGCAUGUUCCAUCACGUCUUGAAAGAAUUUGGAUUAAAAUUAGCCGAAAUCAUUGCCUUUCAUGACAAGCACAGGCAAAUAUGGCCUGGAAAGGUUGUGCAUUCCUUGGGUGGUCGAACAUUGAUCAAUGGGUGGAGAGCUUUUAGUAGGUGGAACAAUGUGGACAAAGAUGAUCUUUGUAUUUGUGAAUUUCCGACAACAGAGGGGGAAGAGAGAGAUAUCAUAGAGGUGCAUAUUGCCCGGGGAUGUGGUUCAAGAAGCCGAACCAGAACCGAUCCAAAUUGAACCUUUGCAUUUAGCCUUAGUAAACUUUUCUAUGUCAAAAUGAGUUUAUGUUAUGUAUAUGAUAUGUUCUUAAGAACUAAAAGUAGACAAUGAACCGACUUUAGUGUGUUUCUGUAGGUGAAUGUUUUCUUAUGCAUUCCUCUUAAAUC